rnacentral:rRNA from 1 species
GACGAACGCUGGCGGCGUGCUUAACACAUGCAAGUCGAACGGAAAGGCCCUGCUUUUGUGGGGUGCUCGAGUGGCGAACGGGUGAGUAACACGUGAGUAACCUGCCCUUGACUUUGGGAUAACUUCAGGAAACUGGGGCUAAUACCGGAUAGGAGCUCCUGCUGCAUGGUGGGGGUUGGAAAGUUUCGGCGGUUGGGGAUGGACUCGCGGCUUAUCAGCUUGUUGGUGGGGUAGUGGCUUACCAAGGCUUUGACGGGUAGCCGGCCUGAGAGGGUGACCGGCCACACUGGGACUGAGAUACGGCCCAGACUCCUACGGGAGGCAGCAGUGGGGAAUAUUGCACAAUGGGCGGAAGCCUGAUGCAGCAACGCCGCGUGCGGGAUGACGGCCUUCGGGUUGUAAACCGCUUUCGCCUGGGACGAAGCGUGAGUGACGGUAAUGGGUAAAGAAGCACCGGCUAACUACGUG